CUGCUGCCUCCCGUAGGAGUCUGGGCCGUGUCUCAGUCCCAAUGUGGCCGUCCACCCUCUCAGGCCGGCUACUGAUCGUCGGCUUGGUGGGCCGUUACCCCACCAACUACCUAAUCAGACGCGGGUCCAUCUUACACCACCUCAGUUUUUACCACUGUACCAUGCAGUACUGUGGUCUUAUGCGGUAUUAGCAGUCAUUUCUAACUGUUAUCCCCCUGUGUAAGGCAGGUUACCCACGCGUUACUCACCCGUCCGCCGCU
rnacentral:rRNA from 1 species